ACGUAGGGUGCAAGCGUUAAUCGGAAUUACUGGGCGUAAAGCGUGUGCAGGCGGUUGUAUAAGACAGUAGUGAAAUCUCCCGGCUCAACUGGGGAGCUGCUACAGAGACUGUAUAGCUUGAGUGCGGCAGGGGGGGAUGGAAUUCCCCGUGUAGCAGUGAAAUGCGUAGAUAUGCGGAGGAACACCGAUGGCGAAGGCAGUCCCCUGGGCCUGUACUGACGCUCAUGCGCGAAAGCGUGGGGAGCAAACAG
rnacentral:rRNA from 1 species